rnacentral:rRNA from 1 species
ACGACCAUAGGCAGUGUAGAAUACUGGGUCCCGUUUGCUCCCCGUGCGUCAAACCACUGACCGGCAGAUUAGUAGUUGGGUCGGUGACGACCAGCGAACACCGGCUGUUGUAUGUG